rnacentral:sRNA from 1 species
CAAAUUUUGAUUACACAAGGGACUGUGUAUUUAAGUUUGGGAGAGUGUUCAAGACGUAUUUGACAUGUUUUUUGUGAAUAUCAUUUGAGUCUACAUAUCAUCUAAGACAUAGAAAAAAACAAAACAAUUUUGAACAUUUUCUGAAAAUGAAUUCCACAAAUGCUGAGUGUUCAUAUAGUUGCAUUAGAUUUAGGAUCGAGUCUAGAGUGUUUCAUUUAGGAUUUUUGCAUAUGCAUUGGGGAUAAUGACGAGAUAACCUUGUAAGCAUGUUGAUUUACUUAAUAGACUCAAUGCCCCCAUUAUCAGUUGUUUGAUGCAUUUGAA